AUUGAACGCUGGCGGCAGGCCUAACACAUGCAAGUCGAGCGAGCGGCGGACGGGUGAGUAAUGUCCGGGAAACUGCCUGAUGGAGGGGGAUAACUACUGGAAACGGUAGUUAAUCCCGCAUACCAUCAGAUGUGCCCAGAUGGGAUUAGCUAGUAGGGGGGGUAACGGCCCACCUAGGCGACCAUCCCUAGCUGGUUUGAGUGGAUGACCAGCCACACUGGAACUGAGACACGGUCCAGAUUCCUACGGGAGGCAGCAGUGGGGAAUAUUGCACAAUGGGCGCAAGCCUGAUGCAGCCAUGCCGCGUGUGUGAAGAAGGCCUUCGGGUUGUAAAGCACUUUCAGCGGGGAGGCGUUACCCGCAGAAGAAGCACCGGCUAACUCCGUGCCAGCAGCCGCGGUAAUAC
rnacentral:rRNA from 1 species